AUUUCUCUCUCUUCCUCCCUCCUCUCCUGUGAACGCUCUCUCCCCCUCUCUCUCUCAUACUCUCUUCUUCUAACUUCAAAGAUAUUGUUCUACCUUCGAUUCUGGGUUUUGUUUUUCAAUUGCUUUUGUUGCCCAGGUGAUUCUUCUUCUGAUUUUUUUUUUCGUACAAGUUAAAUUAGGUUUUCUCGUUUGUUGAUUAUGUGUUUAAUUUUUCUGCUCUUAUGUUUACAUUAUGUCGAUGUUGUGUUUACUUUUGAUUAGAUUGUGUUUAAUUUUGCUGAUAAUGUCUUUACAUUUUCGAUUCUUCUAAUUCCUUCACCUUCUUUGCGAUUAUUCUCUUUCGAUCAAUUCGUCAGGUACGUAUUCAAUUUUUCAAUUUUGUUUCAUUUAUCGCUAUUUUGAUUCCUUUGCAAUUGUUGAAGUUAGGGUUUCAAGAAUUCUUUGUUUCAUCCUUUUAAUUUGCGAUUUGAUUAGUAAAAUUAGGGAUUUUCAAAUUUUAGUAAUCAAAUUUUUUUUGUAGAAAAUGAUGAUUAGGACCUACUGAUCCAUUAUUUAUCCAAUCAUGAGCUAAUCGAGUGGUUAGCUGGUUUUGUGCUACUAGGUAAGUGUGUGCAGGCUGCUUUAUAUUUAAUCAAAGAAGUGAAUCAGUAGUCUCGUUUUGUUUUGUUUUUUUUACUGAACUAUUGUUGUUCUAUUUGUAGUUUAUUAGUCGUGUUUCUUUUGUUUAGACAGUGUGAUAUUGUAUGCUAUUUAUCACAAGUGAUAUUUCCUGCAGUUUGGAAUUGAAGAUUGCGGGCUAUGAUCUUAGGAAAAACACCAGUUGUUGUGUUGUUGAUGUAUGUAUAAUCAGAUAGUUGGUAACUGACUAGGUCUGCACUGGUGAACUUGGCCCUUAGUUGAGUUUCGCCUUUGCUAUGCUGCUACGUUGUUGGUGCUGUAAUUCUGCUGGGCAUUUCAAGCAGGGUGUUGCUUGAUGCUUAGUGGUUUUAUUUGGGGUUGUUUGUGUCAUUUUGGCCUUUGUUGGCCAAAGUUGACUUUGUUGUUUUUGUUUGAUUCUUGCCUAGCUUUUUGAUGUAUCAUAUCUUGAAGUAUGUAGUGAUUUCGACGUUUUUUCCUGAUGCACCUGCAGUUCCUCUAUCCUAGAUAUAAAUUGCCCAACUGUUGUCAAUUUACAUAAAAGGCAGUAGUUUAUUAUGUUGGGUCUUGUGAAUGUUUGGUUACUUGGGGUGCGUUUUAUCCUAGCAGUAGCUUACAGUAGCAUUGAUCAAUUUUUUUGGCAUUAUGUGUUAGUAGUUCUGGUCAGAGACUCAGAGUCAGCUUAUUAUCAAAGUUGACUAGUUGACUUUUGCUUCUCAACGACUUUUUCUUUCUUGUUUAUGUCUUGGCCAAGGGAGAAGAGAAACACAAUGAAUAACACAAUCCUACUAGCUCAAUAGGGAGAGCAUUGUUCGAAUGCACAAAUAUAUGAGUUCGAAUCCCAUGUAGGUUCCUUUUUACUUUUUUGUAUUCUUUUAUUUACUUUUAUUUUGAAAACCUCUACUUUGACCUUCAUAGGAGUUUCUAUGUUGUAGGUAUACUUCUUGAGAUUUUUAACUUACUUUUGAGUUUUUUUAAUUUACUUUUGAGUUUUUUUAAUUUACUUUUGAGUUUUUUAUGUUCUUCUCGUUGCUGUAGCAGUCUUGUUUGCACGGUUAGUUUCAGAUAUGUAGAUGCAGCCUUUAUUCUAACCAGCUAGACACCCGCAUUCCAUUUUGCUGGUUGUGUUGGCCUGUUUGCAAUAGCUAGUUGUUGUAGACCUGAUGCAGAAUGUUUGGAGCUGAAGUCAACAGUUCAAAGUUAUAUUUUGUAGCAGAAAGGUUGAGUUUAAUAUUUCCAGAUUGUUCGGUGCGUGUGUUCACACAUCUUGGUGAUGGGGCACCAUACAAGAAAUUAUACUCAAUGACAAGUCUGCAAACAUUAGAUGUGUAAUUUUGAGCUACCAUUCUCAUUGUUCUGGGCUAAUAGAGAGCCUGCCAAAGCUGUAAUAUAUUGGUGGACAUUGUUGGCUGCUGAAUUGCAGUACAAGUUACUUAGCAAGUCUGUGCUGCUAGCGUGGAAGUGAUGAUCUGGUGCAACCUGCUGUAUGAACGAAUGAUGUUUCUAUGAUGAGGCUGUUUUGCUGUUUGUUGGUGGUCCGAAGAUGGGUGGUUUUCUGGGAUAUGGUCAGGUUUGAAGACAGGGCGCUCUGGUGGGCUUUCUAAGUUGAAUGUUGUUUUACUGAUGCUUGUUGUUUUUUGAUAUCCUUUUACUUUUACGAGUUAUUUAUAAGUAUUUGAUUGCAUUCUAAUUAUUCUUUCUCUGUGGUCAUAUAACACUAGCCUACUAGCUCAAUGGAUAGAGCGUUGCGCAAAUGCGCAAAAAUGUGAGUUCGAAUCCCACAUUGGUGUGAAGAAUUUGAGCAUAGCACAAGCAACUUCGAAUUUAAUUCCAAUGUUUGACGAACUCCGGGAUUGAAUCAACUUUUCGAAUAAUUCGGGUGAAAUUGCAGAUUAAGAAGACAAACUACACCUAAUUUAGGGACAAUUUCCUGAAAUUGGAAGAAAUUCGAAAAGUAUAGUGUUGUGAACAGAGAGAAAUUAACAUGUUGUUUUGUGAAGUAGAGAGAGAAAGUGAUGCCCGCGUUUUGAUGGAGCAAACUUCAAUUAUCUAAUAGCUUCGUAUCUCAACCGUCCAUUUUAAUUU